GAUGAAUGUGCGUUUAAUCACUUCAAACGGCUAACAAGUCUCAGUAUGAUGGCAGAAGAUUAACCCUUGCCCUUUCCGGCGAGGGUUUUCUUUU
rnacentral:sRNA from 1 species